rnacentral:rRNA from 1 species
CCUACGGGAGGCAGCAGUGAGGAAUAUUGGUCAAUGGACGAGAGUCUGAACCAGCCAAGUAGCGUGAAGGAUGACUGCCCUAUGGGUUGUAAACUUCUUUUAUAUGGGAAUAAAAUGUUCCACGUGUGGGAUUUUGUAUGUACCAUAUGAAUACGGAUCGGCUAACUCCGUGCCAGCAGCAGCGGUAAUACGGAGGAUCCGAGCGUUAUCCGGAUUUAUUGGGUUUAAAGGGAGCGUAGGUGGAUUGUUAAGUCAGUUGUGAAAGUUUGCGGCUCAACCGUAAAAUUGCAGUUGAAACUGGCAGUCUUGAGUACAGUAGAGGUGGGCGGAAUUCGUGGUGUAGCGGUGAAAUGCUUAGAUAUCACGAAGAACUCCGAUUGCGAAGGCAGUUCACUGGACUGCAACUGACACUGAGGCUCGAAAGUGUGGGUAUCAAACAGGAUUAGAUACCCCAGUAGUC